UCAAGGGCAUUACAGACAAUUUACAACAAAUCUACAGUUUCACAGUAGUUUGAACCAAACGACUUUCUGCUUCUCCACAGCAGGAUGCUCACAGCAGCUUUUCCACAGCUCACAGCUGAACCAAACACACCCUUAGUCUGUGCCAAAGACUGGUUGAUUGGAUUCAAUGAUGAAGAAGAAGGUGAACCAAUGACAGGAAAGCGAAUGUUUGAUUCAGAUGAUGAAGAAGAUGAUUGGGAAAUUUGAUGUAGAUUUAGGUCCAAUGAGCAGAUGUUUAGUAGAAUAGCCUGUUGUUGAGUGUAGCAAGAUCGAUGAUUCAGUGAUAACAAAGUGACUUACCUUCUCCUUCAUCUGUGCACAUUCAAGGU